AGAGUUUGAUCCUGGCUCAGAACGAACGCUGGCGGCGUGGAUAAGACAUGCAAGUCGAACGAGAGAAUUGCUAGCUUGCUAAUAAUUCUCUAGUGGCGCACGGGUGAGUAACACGUGAGUAACCUGCCCCCGAGAGCGGGAUAGCCCUGGGAAACUGGGAUUAAUACCGCAUAGUAUCGAAAGAUUAAAGCAGCAAUGCGCUUGGGGAUGGGCUCGCGGCCUAUUAGUUAGUUGGUGAGGUAACGGCUCACCAAGGCGAUGACGGGUAGCCGGUCUGAGAGGAUGUCCGGCCACACUGGAACUGAGACACGGUCCAGACACCUACGGGUGGCAGCAGUCGAGAAUCAUUCACAAUGGGGGAAACCCUGAUGGUGCGACGCCGCGUGGGGGAAUGAAGGUCUUCGGAUUGUAAACCCCUGUCAUGUGGGAGCAAAUUAAAAAGAUAGUACCACAAGAGGAAGAGACGGCUAACUCUGUGCCAGCAGCCGCGGUAAUACAGAGGUCUCAAGCGUUGUUCGGAAUCACUGGGCGUAAAGCGUGCGUAGGCUGUUUCGUAAGUCGUGUGUGAAAGGCGCGGGCUCAACCCGCGGACGGCACAUGAUACUGCGAGACUAGAGUAAUGGAGGGGGAACCGGAAUUCUCGGUGUAGCAGUGAAAUGCGUAGAUAUCGAGAGGAACACUCGUGGCGAAGGCGGGUUCCUGGACAUUAACUGACGCUGAGGCACGAAGGCCAGGGGAGCGAAAGGGAUUAGAUACCCCUGUAGUCCUGGCAGUAAACGGUGCACGCUUGGUGUGCGGGGAAUCGACCCCCUGCGUGCCGGAGCUAACGCGUUAAGCGUGCCGCCUGGGGAGUACGGUCGCAAGAUUAAAACUCAAAGAAAUUGACGGGGACCCGCACAAGCGGUGGAGUAUGUGGCUUAAUUCGAUGCAACGCGAAGAACCUUACCUGGGCUUGACAUGUAAUGAACAACAUGUGAAAGCAUGCGACUCUUCGGAGGCGUUACACAGGUGCUGCAUGGCCGUCGUCAGCUCGUGUCGUGAGAUGUUUGGUUAAGUCCAGCAACGAGCGCAACCCCUGUAGCCAGUUACCAGCACGUGAAGGUGGGGACUCUGGCGAGACUGCCCAGAUCAACUGGGAGGAAGGUGGGGACGACGUCAGGUCAGUAUGGCCCUUAUGCCCAGGGCUGCACACGUACUACAAUGCCCAGUACAGAGGGGGCCGAAGCCGCGAGGCGGAGGAAAUCCUAAAAACUGGGCCCAGUUUGGACUGUAGGCUGCAACCCGCCUACACGAAGCCGGAAUCGCUAGUAAUGGCGCAUCAGCUACGGCGCCGUGAAUACGUUCCCGGGUCUUGUACUCACCGCCCGUCA
rnacentral:rRNA from 1 species